rnacentral:rRNA from 1 species
UAGAGGAAGUAAAAGUCGUAACAAGGUUUCCGUAGGUGAACCUGCGGAAGGAUCAUUAAUGAAUUUUGAAAGGGGUUGUAGCUGGCCUUUUAGGAGGCAUGUGCACGCCCUGCUCUUCCAUUCUUACCCCUGUGCACACUCUGUAGGUCGGUUUGAGCGGCUCUCUCUAACGGGGGAUGCUGUUUGGCCUUCCUAUGUUUUAUAACAAACUCUGUAAUGUCAUAGAAUGUCAUCGCGUAUAACGCAUUAUAAUAUAACUUUCAGCAACGGAUCUCUUGGCUCUCGCAUCGAUGAAGAACGCAGCGAAAUGCGAUAAGUAAUGUGAAUUGCAGAAUUCAGUGAAUCAUCGAAUCUUUGAACGCACCUUGCGCUCCUUGGUAUUCCGAGGAGCAUGCCUGUUUGAGUGUCAUGGAAUUCUCAACCCUCUUAUCCUUGUGGUGAGAUUGGGUUGGAUUUGGAGGUUUAUGCUGGCUUGUAAUGAGUCGGCUCCUCUUGAAUGCAUUAGCUUGGACCUUUGCGGACCAGCUUUUCGGUGUGAUAAUUGUCUACGCCGUGGGCUGUGAUGCUGUUUAACAUGCUUCGGCGUGUUGGGGUUCUGCUUCUAAUGGUCCCUUUGGUGGGACAACUUACUUUGACCUCUGACCUCAAAUCAGGUAGGAUUACCCGCUGAACUUAAGCAUAUCAAUA